rnacentral:rRNA from 1 species
AUUGAACGCUGGCGGCAGGCCUAACACAUGCAAGUCGAACGAGUGGCGGACGGGUGAGUAAUGUCUGGGAAACUGCCCGAUGGAGGGGGAUAAAUACUGGAAACGGUAGCUCAUACCGCAUACCAUCGGAUGUGCCCACAGGGGAUUAGCUAGUAGGUGGGGUAAAGGCUCACCACGGCGACAAUCCCUAGAUGGUAUGAGAGGAUGACCAGCCACACUGGAACUGAGACACGGUCCAGACUCCUACGGGAGGCAGCAGUGGGGAAUAUUGCACAAUGGGCGCAAGCCUGAUGCAGCCAUGCCGCGUGUAUGAAGAAGGCCUUCGGGUUGUAAAGUACUUUCAGCGAGGAGGCGUUACUCGCAGAAGAAGCACCGGCUAACUCCGUGCCAGCAGCCGCGGUAAUUC